rnacentral:rRNA from 1 species
UACGUAGGGGGCAAGCGUUGUCCGGAUUUACUGGGCGUAAAGAGCGUGUAGGCGGCCAAACAGGUCCGUUGUGAAAACUGGAGGCUCAACCUCCAGACGUCGACGGAAACCGUAUGGCUAGAGUCCGGAAGAGGAGAGUGGAAUUCCUGGUGUAGCGGUGAAAUGCGCAGAUAUCAGGAAGAACACCGAUGGCGAAGGCAGCUCUCUGGGACGGUACUGACGCUGAGACGCGAAAGCGUGGGGAGCGAACAGG